rnacentral:rRNA from 1 species
UACGUAGGUGGCAAGCGUUGUCCGGAUUUACUGGGCGUAAAGAGCGCGCAGGCGGUCGUUCAAGUCGCGUGUGAAAGCCCCCGGCUCAACUGGGGAGGGUCACGCGAUACUGAUCGACUCGAAGGCAGGAGAGGGAAGUGGAAUUCCCGGUGUAGUGGUGAAAUGCGUAGAUAUCGGGAGGAACACCAGUGGCGAAGGCGGUGGUCUGGGCCGGCACUGACGCUGAGGAGCGAAAGCUGGGGGAGCAAACGGG